AGUAAUGUAUGGGGAUCUGCCCGAUAGAGGGGGAUAACUACUGGAAACGGUGGCUAAUACCGCAUAAUGUCUACGGACCAAAGCAGGGGCUCUUCGGACCUUGCACUAUCGGAUGAACCCGUAUGGGAUUAGCUAGUAGGUGGGGUAAAGGCUCACCUAGGCGACGAUCUCUAGCUGGUCUGAGAGGAUGAUCAGCCACACUGGGACUGAGACACGGCCCAG
rnacentral:rRNA from 1 species